rnacentral:rRNA from 1 species
UGGGGAAUAUUGGACAAUGGGCGCAAGCCUGAUCCAGCAAUGCCGCGUGUGUGAAGAAGGCCUUCGGGUUGUAAAGCACUUUUAUCAGGAGCGAAACGCUGUCGGCUAAUACCCGGCGGAACUGACGGUACCUGAGGAAUAAGCACCGGCUAACUUCGUGCCAGCAGCCGCGGUAAUACGAAGGGUGCAAGCGUUAAUCGGAAUUACUGGGCGUAAAGCGUGCGUAGGCGGUUUCUUAAGUCUGCUGUGAAAUCCCCGGGCUCAACCUGGGAAUGGCAGUGGAUACUGGGAGGCUAGAGUGUGUCAGAGGGUGGUGGAAUUCCCGGUGUAGCGGUGAAAUGCGUAGAGAUCGGGAGGAACAUCAGUGGCGAAGGCGGCCACCUGGGACAACACUGACGCUGAGGCACGAAAGCGUGGGGAGCAAACAGGAUUAGAUACCCUGGUAGUCCACGCCCUAAACGAUGCGAACUGGAUGUUGGUCUCAACUCGGAGAUCAGUGUCGAAGCUAACGCGUUAAGUUCGCCGCCUGGGGAGUACGGUCGCAAGACUGAAACUCAAAUGAAUUGACG